CCCGCUGAACUUAAGCAUAUCAUUAAGCGGAGGAAAAGAAACUAACAAGGAUUCCCCUAGUAACUGCGAGUGAAGCGGGAAGAGCUCAAAUUUGAAAUCUGGCAGCUUUGCUGUCCGAGUUGUAAUCUGUAGAAGUGUUUUCUGCAUUGGACCGUGUACAAGUCUCUUGGAACAGAGCGUCAUAGAGGGUGAGAAUCCCGUUCAUGACAUGGACUACCAAUGCUUUGUGAUACACUCUCAAAGAGUCGAGUUGUUUGGGAAUGCAGCUCAAAAUGGGUGGUAAAUUCCAUCUAAAGCUAAAUACAAGCAAGAGACCGAUAGUGAACAAGUACCGUGAGGGAAAGAUGAAAAGCACUUUGGAAAGAGAGUUAAACAGUAUGUGAAAUUGUUGAAAGGGAAACACUUGAAGUCAGUCACAUUCUGCAGGACUCAGCCUUGUCCUUAGGGACUUGGUGUAUUUCCUGCAGAAUGGGUCAACGUCAAUCUUGGUCAGUGGAUAAAGGAGGAGGGAAUGUGGCACCUUUACAGGUGUGUUAUAGACCUCUUUCAUAUACACUGGCUGGGAUUGAGGACUGCAGCAUGCCCUCUGGGGCCAGGACUUUACCAUGUCUCAUGCUUAGGAUGUUGACAAAAUGGCUUUAAGUGACCCGUCUUGAAACACGG
rnacentral:rRNA from 1 species